UGUAUACAUUUCAUGUGUCGAUUUAUAAACAUACGGCGAUAAGGGACCAAUGCACUUGAGCUUAGCUGAUCGAGAACAGGCUAGAGCAGAUUUUCAAGACGAGGAACGCUCCGGGCGUCCUCCUCAGACAGACGAAGAUAAAAUUCGGGAUCUUGUCGAAAAAUCACGAAGUUUGACAGUUCAAGAGAUGUCAAAUGUUCUGA
rnacentral:misc_RNA from 1 species